rnacentral:rRNA from 1 species
GUCGAGCGGCAGCGCGGGGGCAACCCUGGCGGCGAGCGGCGAACGGGUGAGUAAUACAUCGGAACGUACCCAGACGUGGGGGAUAACACAUCGAAAGAUGUGCUAAUACCGCAUACGACCUGAGGGUGAAAGGGGGGGAUCGCAAGACCUCUCGCGUUUGGAGCGGCCGAUGUCGGAUUAGCUAGUUGGUGAGGUAAAGGCUCACCAAGGCGACGAUCCGUAGCUGGUCUGAGAGGAUGAUCAGCCACACUGGGACUGAGACACGGCCCAGACUCCUACGGGAGGCAGCAGUGGGGAAUUUUGGACAAUGGGGGCAACCCUGAUCCAGCCAUUCCGCGUGAGUGAAGAAGGCCUUCGGGUUGUAAAGCUCUUUCGGCAGGAACGAAACGGUGAGGGCUAAUACCCUUUAUCAAUGACGGUACCUGAAGAAGAAGCACCGGCUAACUACGUGCCAGCAGCCGCGGUAAUACGUAGGGUGCGAGCGUUAAUCGGAAUUACUGGGCGUAAAGCGUGCGCAGGCGGUUCUAUAAGACAGAUGUGAAAUCCCCGGGCUUAACCUGGGAACUGCGUUUGUGACUGUAGGACUCGAGUGUGGCAGAGGGGGGUGGAAUUCCACGUGUAGCAGUGAAAUGCGUAGAGAUGUGGAGGAACACCGAUGGCGAAGGCAGCCCCCUGGGUUAACACUGACGCUCAUGCACGAAAGCGUGGGGGAGCAAACAGGAUUAGAUACCCUGGU